AUUGAACGCUGGCGGCAUGCCUUACACAUGCAAGUCGAACGGCAGCACGGGAGCAAUCCCGGUGGCGAGUGGCGAACGGGUGAGUAAUAUAUCGGAACGUGCCCAGUCGUGGGGGAUAACGUAGCGAAAGCUACGCUAAUACCGCAUACGAUCUAUGGACGAAAGCGGGGGAUCGCAAGACCUCGCGCGAUUGGAGCGGCCGAUAUCAGAUUAGGUAGUUGGUGAGGUAAAGGCUCACCAAGCCGACGAUCUGUAGCUGGUCUGAGAGGACGACCAGCCACACUGGGACUGAGACACGGCCCAGACUCCUACGGGAGGCAGCAGUGGGGAAUUUUGGACAAUGGGCGCAAGCCUGAUCCAGCAAUGCCGCGUGCAGGAUGAAGGCCUUCGGGUUGUAAACUGCUUUUGUACGGAGCGAAAAGGCUUCCACUAAUACUGGGGGCUCAUGACGGUACCGUAAGAAUAAGCACCGGCUAACUACGUGCCAGCCGCCGCAGUAAGAC
rnacentral:rRNA from 1 species